UGCAGUGUGCUGUACUACACUAAGCAUGGCUCAGUGCAGCUUCGGCUCUCGGGGAGGACGCUUGACGUGGGUGUGUGGAUUAGGAGCGGCUGCGAUCCAGCCAGUGUGCUGUGGUCCUACUCUGGAUAUUACUUAUCAUUCAGCAUUACAAGGAUGUCACAUUUACAAUUGAUCACAUGGAUUUGUCUGUUCCCUUCAUCAGUGGAGAAUUUUGAAACCCGGUCUUCUCAGGAGUCGCGCAGAGAGAGGAUUCAUUACACGAGGGAAUUAUUGUUAUUUUGAAAACUGGAAUUUAUAAGGAUACAUUUUUCUGGAUUCAAUACAACCUUUAGUAAUUGUUCUACUGGAUAACUGUGUCUUGACGUCUUUUACGCGGAACGUGUGUCAAGCUACAGCGUUCGCAUUGACACCCAACUACAGGACCAGAGAGGUCCGGUGCAGGGACUCCUAUGGUCGGGCACAGACACGCCGGUCAAUGGGUCUCUUGAGGAUAUCUUAUUCGCAGUGACCGAUGGCUAAAGUUCAGCGGUUACCGAUGGAAAUAACACGCACAAUGCUGGAUCACUACGAUGUUGGAUGAUUUGCGGGAUGGUUUGAACAGUGCAAUGGGAUUGGAUAGUAUGUUUUUGUGGUACAUAUUGGGGGAAUUUGUACCCAUGUUUUGGACAUCUACACGGAAUGGAUUAUCCCAUUACGCACAACUAAAUGGAUUAUUACCUGACAGGAGGAAGGAGAUAUUGUUUGGACACACCCCUACCCGACCAGUUGCCUGCCUCCCAGAAGGGAUGGGACAACGUUGGAAUGCAGCGCAGCCUAGAAACUGAUUGUAUGUAGCACUGCAUUCAUUAAGGACUUUACCGUUGCAGGUUACAUGAAAGAGCAUGAUCAUCUCGAAGCAGUAGGAUCUUUGUUCCAUCAGAUGUUUGAUCAGUUGCAACGACAGCACAAUGGUACAUUUAUUCAACACCUGUUGAAUUAUUCUGGAAUGAUCUCAAAUGAAAUCAACUGUUAUUGGUCACAUGCACAUGUUGAGCAGAUGUUAUUGCGGGUGUAGCAAUACUAAGCCUGACCAUAAAGCUUUAGAACGUAUUUAGUUUCUGUUUUUAAUCUACAUAAUUUUUGUGGUUAUGACAUAUCUUUCUCCAGACACUGUAUAAUGAUUUGUGCCAUUGAUGAGAACAACAUUGUGUCCUUGUUUUUGGCGCCCCCUCUGGUGAAAUACAUUGUUUACACUGUUUUGACGUUGUUUACGAGGUACAGCCGCUAGGGGCAUAAUUACAUCUCGUUCUUUACAAGGUAUAUUACCCAACGACUAUUUCACCACUGUGCUUUUAACAUGACCUGAUUGGGAAUGGAAUGUAAUUACACAAUGUUUUUGCUUCCCAUAGUUCUAGAAGCUUGCUAACUACUAUUGUGUCAUGUUCCAUAGAGAGUUGUCUGGAGACUUCUGCUGUCUAAUGCUUCUCUUAUUUGCUUCUCCACUUAGGACGUGGCCACAACUGUUAACAAUAGGCCACAUCUUUGCAUGUGUUUUAUACUAGUUAUACUAGUUAUAUUGGAUCAAUGUAAGAUCACUAUUUGUCACCUGUCUAUGUUUUCUGUCCCCUCCUCACCUCCUCUCCUUCAUUUCACUGAUCUAAAACAAUGAACAGGUAAAAGUGUAAUGAUGAGCUUCCACCAUACUGUUUUUACAGGUGGUACAGACAUACUUACUUCAUCGUUGCAAUUGUAUUACAGAAAUUAAGUCUAUAAAUGCAGCAAUUUCUUAUUUUGUGUGUGCAAUUGAGACAAAGCCAAGUGGAGUCAUUUCAUGAGAACCCAGGAAUGUUGAAGUGUGUCACCUCCACCACAUGGUGGCGCUGUUGUCUAAGACUUCUCACAAUCUGUAGCCGUGAUUUUGGAGAAAAGAGCCCUGCUCUGAAACAGUGUUCUUUGACGUGUUCUCAUAGAUGAGCCCUCUGAAAACCCAGGUUGAUAAGAUAUUGUGAUGUUUUAUCACACCUAUUGACAUACAUCUUGUCACAGUUUACAGUGACAACAUGUGGAAACAUGUUCAGUUGGAGUCCUUCACUCCUUCAUGUCCAAACCUCUAUUGUUAACCAAAAACUUGUAACCUACUUACAUUGCCCUGCAAUAGAUUAGCAUCCUGUCCAAGGGGUGAACCUGUACAGCUGCCUCACACUACAGAAACAGGAGAUGGGCUCCAGCUCCUAUAAGCUGCUCCCCGGCUCCAACAAACCAAGGCUCUUUACUGACGUUGUCAUAACAUGAUCAGACAUUAGGAAUGUGUUAUGAGAACUACAGAAACGACUAUCAACAGCUGGAGUUACAUGAGCUCAGCUUGGUGGUUAGCUGAUGUGGUAUUUCUGAGAGGUAGUUACUGCUACUACUAGGUAGCUACUCGGUGCUCACACACCCGCUCCUAUGAAACGACAAUACAAUCUCAAGCUUCACCACCAGGGGGCAAUGUGGCACCAUGGAAUAGAUAUAACACCCACUCUGGCAGGGUAAGAUAUUGCCGUUGCUAUAAGGCCAGCGCAACUCUGUGAUCUGUGGAGUAAUGGCUCUAGAUUGGCAUUGUAUUUUUUCAAAAAGUCGCCCUGUUCCCUAUGUAGUGCACUACCAUGUGACCAGGGCCCAUAGGCCAGUGUAGGGAAUAGUGUGCCAUUUAGAACAACCCUAGGUGAUCAUUAUUAUCUUGUUAUUGCCCUUUGUUGAAGCCCAUCUCUCUUUGAAGAUCAAAGCAGUAGUCUGCCUCUGUGUGUACCGACCCACACAGAUAACACACAACCUACAAGUGAACUACAAUAAAGUCUACCACUCUGUACAUCUGUCACGGUGUCAGCUUCAUAUCAUUCCUGUCUAUAGAGACUAAUGCCAUUCUGCCAUAAUCUGCUCCCAGAUGUGUUUGUGCUGUAUAGACAGCUCCUAUGGUGAGAGGUAUAGAUGGAUGUGAGUGUGGUCGCACAGAUCAGUCAGGUUGGGUCUGUUGGAAGCAGGGUAUUUUUCUGUGGCACAGGAUCAGUCAGGUUGGGUCUGUUGGAAACAGGGUAUUUUUCUGUGGCACAGGAUCAGUCAGGUUGGGUCUGUUGGAAACAGGGUAUUUUUCUGUGGCACAGGAUCAGUCAGGUUGGGUCUGUUGGAAACAGGGUAUUUUUCUGUGGCACAUGAUCAGUCAGGUUGGGUCUGUUGGAAGCAGGGUAUUUUUCUGUGGCACAGGAUCAGUCAGGUUGGGUCUGUUGGAAGCAGGAUAUUUUCUGUGCCCUGCUGGAACACAUGGAAAAUAGGGAACUCUGCAUGGCUUACUGUUGGCCCGCAUCCAGCUUACUGUUGGCCCGCGUAUGCACUUCAGACAUAACGAGAGAGAGAGAAACCGAGAGAGAGACAGACAUAAUGAGAGAGAGAGAAAUGGACAUAA